rnacentral:rRNA from 1 species
AAACUUUCAACAAUGGAUCUCUUGGCUCUCGCAUCGAUGAAGAACGCAGCGAAUUGCGAUAAGUAGUGUGAAUUGCAGAAUUCUGUGAAUCAUCGAAUCUUUGAACGCAUAUUGCGCUCUCUGGUAUUCCGGAGAGCAUGCCUGUUCGAGGGUAAUU